rnacentral:rRNA from 1 species
AACGAACGCUGGCGGCAUGCCUAACACAUGCAAGUCGAACGAGACCUUCGGGUCUAGUGGCGCACGGGUGCGUAACGCGUGGGAACCUGCCCUUAGGUUCGGAAUAACUCCCCGAAAGGGGUGCUAAUACCGGAUAAUGUCUUCGGACCAAAGAUUUAUCGCCUUUGGAUGGGCCCGCGUUGGAUUAGCUAGUUGGUAGGGUAAAAGCCUAACAAGGCGACGAUCCAUAGCUGGUCUGAGAGGAUGAUCAGCCACACUGGGACUGAGACACGGCCCAGACUCCUACGGGAGGCAGCAGUGGGGAAUAUUGGACAAUGGGCGAAAGCCUGAUCCAGCAAUGCCGCGUGAGUGAUGAAGGCCUUAGGGUUGUAAAGCUCUUUUACCCGGGAUGAUAAUGACGGUACCGGGAGAAUAAGCUCCGGCUAACUACGUG